UCAAAGCUCUGAAACAUCAAACUUUACUGUAGAACCCGAUGUUUGUGAAUGUGGUCGUUAUUGUAAGCUAAAAACAUCAAGGACCGAAGAUAAUCUGAGGCGUCAUUUUUGGCAUUGUAAAGUACCCGAAGAUAUGGGCGGUUGCAAAUAUUUUCGUUGGGAAGAUAGCAUUCCCGUGGAUAAAACGGUGGCGGCGAAGAUUAAAAAGCCUCCUGUUGAUAGAGAUACCGCAACUUCAUGUAUCUCAAGAGAUACCGUGAAGUUUGACUUGCAAUUUAAGCUUAUGGAAGCUAAAGAAAAGAUUGACCUUUUGGAGGUGUUGCUAAAAGAAUCCAAAGAAAAAUAAAGUUUUCUCAAGGCCAACCUUAGAGAAACUCAACACGAGAAAAAUGCUUUGAAAUAAAAACUGAAAUUUUGGAAGACUAUGUGUGCUAUGUUGUUGUUGUUUAUUAUUUUUAUGUA